UAAGCACCGCUACUGUGCCGCAUCGGUCACGUCUCGAAUUACUGGCGUAAGCGUGCGAGGCGGUUAGCUCUGUGAACCUGGUACCUGGAUGGCUGCUGAGUGGUCGAGGAGGUGAUUCCGUGUGGGGAAAUGCGUAGAUGAGGACACCGUGGCGAAGGCGGCCUCUGGGACUGACGCUGAGGCACAAAGCGGGGGAGCAAACAGGAUUAAUACCCUGGUAGUCCCGCCCUAACUGCGAACUGGACGUGGCCUGUGUCGUAACGCGUUAAGUCGCGCCUGGGGGUACGGUGCAAGACUGAAACUCAAAGGCACAAGUUUAUCGCGGAGAACUUACCUGCCUAUGCUGAGAUUCAAGGUCUGCAUGGCUUUCAGCUCGUGUCGUGAGAUGUGGGUUAAGUCCCCAACGACGCACCCUUGUCUUAGUUGCACGGACUCUAAGAGACUGCCGGU
rnacentral:rRNA from 1 species